AGUGAACGCUGGCGGCGUGCUUAACACAUGCAAGUCGAACGAGAACGGUCCUUCGGGACGUCAGCUAAGUGGCGCACGGGUGAGUAAAGUAUAGUUAAUCUGCCCCCCAGAGAGGGAUAACAACUAGAAAUGGUUGCUAAUACCUCAUACUCCUUUAUUAUUAAUUAGUAAAGGGAAACGAAUUUCGCUGGGGGAUGGGACUAUAUCCUAUCAGCUUGUUGGUGAGGUAAUGGCUCACCAAGGCUAUGACGGGUAGCUGGUCUUAGAGGAUGAGCAGCCACAGUGGUAGUGAGACACGGACCAGACUCAUCGGGGGGGCAGCAGGGGGGAAUAUUGGGAAAUGGACGAAAUUCUGACCCAGCAACGCCGCGGGGAGGAUGAAGCAUUUCGGUGUGUAAACUCCUUUUAACAAAAAAGAUAAUGACGGUAUUAGUUAAAUAAGCACCGGCUAACUCCGUGCCAGAAGCCGCCGUAA
rnacentral:rRNA from 1 species